UGCAGGAGUAAUUGCCACAGUCACGUUGGGGUGCAUUCACUAAAGAAAAUAUCAGGAAGUAUCUAAAGAUCCACGAGGAGAACCGCAAGUCAGCAUCUUCAGCUUCUAAUGCUGAUCCUAACACGCUGAAGCAGGAGAAUAAGGAGUUGAAGGACCUGACCAUCUGUAAGAUCUGCCUGGACGAGAAAGUCUCCAUUGUAUUCCUGCCCUGCGGUCACCUGGUGUCCUGCCCCCAGUGUGCCCCAGCCCUCACCAAAUGUCCAAUCUGUAGGAAGAACAUCAAAGGGACUGUAAGAACCAACCUUGUAGAGAAAAGCACAGCCAAAUAACAAUGGCUGAGGAAGGUUAUCUGAGAGGAUGGAACAAUAAGAUUUGCAUUAUUUUCUAUUAAUUGGAAUGAAUGAGAGAGUGCAAUUUUUUUUAGUAAGUUGAGUAUUGUGUCAUGCUUUUAUUUUUUUUCUCUUUGCAUGAAAGGAAUUAAAGGUUAGUCAAAGAUUUGUUCCAUCCUCUCAGAUAAAAUCCACUGGAUUUCAAUAAGCUUCCUCAAAUAUCGAAGGUUUCCCUUUAUUGUAUAGUGUACAUAUCAUGUUUAAUGUGAUAAUAUUCAAAUGCAAACUUUUUCUUAAUAUUAUGUUCAAUUAUACCCCUUCUCCUUCCUGUUCAAAAAAAAAAAAAAAAGUUGAAAAAUGGUAUUUGAAAAAUAUUUUUGCUCACAUGAACCAUUUAAAGGUUCAGGUAUAAAGGUUGGUCCAACAUUUCUUAUAGUAAAAAAAAUCAGCAAAAAAAUGUGAGUGUUGUGGAUCAUUGACCCAUGGUUAUCUUAAUGAUUAAUUUUUGACUGCCUUGUAUUUGCAUUCUGUGAUUGUUCAAUAUUUUUCAUCAUAAAAAAAAAUCAUUUUUUUUUCUCGUUGACAAAUCUUUAUGUUGAUUCAUGUAUUGUUGGAUUUUCAUUUUACAUUUGUACUCAAUAAUCAUGUGCUUUAACCAACUACUGGUAUAAAUGCCACAAUGACAUUCUGUAAGAGACAUACUGAUAUUAUAACAGCAGUUCGAUCAUUUAAUAGAUUGUUAAUCAUCAUUAUAAUGUGGGUAUGUUCAAUCUUGAACGAUGUCAUAUGAGUUUGGUUUACAUGUACAUUUACAUUAUAAUAUACAUGUGCAUUUUAGAUUAAAAACAUUGAAAAAAAUUCA